rnacentral:lncRNA from 1 species
AACAACCUGGAGGAGCCAUUGUCAUUCAAAUCAUGGAACUGACCUCUCCCUCACCCUCGGGCUCUGGGUGAGGAGCCCGGUUAGUCGUUGUCUGAACAGAGCAGAUCUUUUCAGAGCCGGUUUUCAGGAGCGUUGGAAAGAGGCUGACGAGGAGAAGGGAAGUUGGGGGACAAAAGAUCCGGGCUUGAUCCAGUGAAGCAUUGCUAACAAUAGCCGCUGUUCCCACACAGACGCCUGUCUUCAGGGAGGCUGAGUGGCCUGCCUCUGGAACAAUGAUAACAGCCACCCCAGAUGCAGCGUUGGCUCUUCACUGACUACGCUAACUGUCAUUAUCCAUAUAAAUACUAGGCAGAUGGCUACACUGACAGAGACAUAUUACUGGCUGCGAUGUGCCUAAGACUGUCAAGAAUGCAACUGGUAAGAGAUGGGGAAGUACAAACCACCAAAGAUGCCAUCUGCCUGCGAGAAGCAUGUGGUCCCAUGAGAGUCGAGGUGACAGUGAGGAAGCCAGGAGACUUCGGAGCCUGCCUGGCUGCAUUUCUAACAGGUGGCCAGGCCCCAGCUGCUGGGAUACCCAAAGGACCCAGGUCUGUGUGGGCUGUAGGGGCCCCGUGCACAGUGUGGCUGCCUGCCUGACACGAGUUCACAAGGACCCUGCCAUGGAUGCUGAUCAUGUUGGCUGUCUAGCUUCAGAACUUUCUCCCUAUGUUUGUGCAAACAUUGGUGAGAGGCAGCAAAUGCCAGGUGCUUGUGCACGGGCACACCUCCAGCUGCCAGCUCCUGAGGUGUGCUGCCCGAGGGCGGCCCCAGAGCACACUGUGCAAAGGCAGGACACAGGGCGAGCAGGGAGUCCUGGGGAACGCACACUUUGCCUCCCACGCAGCAGCCCUCAACCAACUGUCCAGAGUGGCCGGGUAACUCGCUUGCCUGUCAGCAGCAUAGCUCUGAGACGCCGGGUCCACACUGUCUCCCAGAACUCCCCAAGCUCUAGUUACUCACAAGGGUAACUCACUUGAUAACACACCCUUUUUGCUUCACUCCCUCCCUGUCUGGUUUUCCCAUUCCCUUACCAAGGUUUCCUUGGAUCAUCUCCCAAAUAAACCACUUGCACUCAAAUCCUUGUUUUGGGGCUGCUUCUGGGGGAUCC